UGCAGGGCCAGAGAAUAAUUUGCAUUUUCACAGAUUAGCUUGAAUAGGAGCUAUUUAAUGUAUUUAUCUACAACGAACUCACCUUCUUUAACCGACCUCUCUUCAACUUGUGUUUAUAGCUCAAUUCAGUCAGAACAACCUCCGGGUUUUCAUGGCUUUCCCUUUUUCUGUUUUGAUUUUGUUCAUUUGUUUUUUAAUCCAACAUUUACCAUCAUUAUGCUUUCCUUCCUUGCAGAGAAAAUCCUCUCCAGUCAAGUAAUUGCAUCCAUUUCAUCUUCCCAGCCCUCCUCUAGAUGGGAGGUGGAGGUGUGUGUACCAAUCUCUUAAUUCAGAAAUGAGACAAGAGGAGGAAAAAGGAGUUCCGGAGGACAGUGGGGACCCCAGCCAGAGCCUGGGGACUUGGCUGCCUUGGAACCAGAACCUGGCCCCUCAGAGGAGUUGCAGAAUUUCGAUAGAGGAGUGGCAGGAGGUGUACUGGCUGAAGAGGAGGCCCAAG
rnacentral:lncRNA from 1 species